AGUGUGGUGUAGUGGUUUGAGCAUUGGACUCUGACUCUGGAGACCAGGGUUCAAAUCCUUGUCACACUC
rnacentral:tRNA from 1 species